rnacentral:misc_RNA from 1 species
GCAGAAUUAUAUGUGAUUGAGGGACAACAUGAUAAAGCUUUUGCUCUUUAUGCGGAUCUUAUGAAGCCGGAUCUGUUUGACUUCAUUGAAAAGCAUAAUUUGCAUGAUGCUGUGCGUGAAAAGGUUGUCCAACUAAUGAUGGUUGACAGCAAGCGUGCUAUACCUUUGUUGAUCCAGCAUAGGGACUUUAUAUAUCCACCCGAAGUGGUGUCACAACUUAUGGCUGCAAAGACUAAGUGUGAUUGUCGGUACCUUUUGCAUUUGUAUCUUCAUUCACUAUUUGAAGUGAAUCUCCAUGCUGGAAAGGAUUACCAUGACAUGCAGGUUGAGCUGUAUGCUGACUAUGAUCCUAAGAUGCUGCUUACCUUUCUUAGAAGCAGCCAGCACUAUACAUU